CCGAAACCAGAUGAUCUAUCCAUGGCCAGGUUGAAGGUUGGGUAACACCAACUGGAGGACCGAACCCACUAACGUUGAAAAGUUAGGGGAUGAGCUGUGGAUAGGGGUGAAAGGCCAAUCAAACUCGGUGAUAGCUGGUUCUCCCCGAAAGCUAUUUAGGUAGCGCCUCGGACGAAUACCAUUGGGGGUAGAGCACUGUUUCGGCUAGGGGGUCAUCCCGACUUACCAAACCGAUGCAAACUCCGAAUACCUACAAGUGCCGAGCAUGGGAGACACACGGCGGGUGCUAACGUCCGUCGUGAAAAGGGAAACAACCCAGACCGCCAAUUAAGGCCCCUAAGUAAUAGCUAAGUGCGAAACGAUGUGGAGGUGCUGAGACAAUCAGGAGGUUGGCUUAGAAGCAGCCACCCUUUAAAGAAAGCGUAAUAGCUCACUGAUCGAGUCGUCCUGCGCGGAAGAUGUAACGGGGCUAAGCAGAUAACCGAAGCUGCGGAUGUACACGUAAGUGUAUGUGGUAGGGGAGCGUUCUGUAAGCCUGCGAAGGUGUGUUGUAAAGCAUGCUGGAGGUAUCAGAAGUGCGAAUGCUGACAUAAGUAACGAUAAAGCGGGUGAAAAGCCCGCUCGCCGGAAGACCAAGGGUUCCUGUCCAACGUUAAUCGGGGCAGGGUGAGUCGACCCCUAAGGCGAGGCUGAAAAGCGUAGUCGAUGGAAAACAGGUUAAUAUUCCUGUACUUCUGGUUAUUGCGAUGGAGGGACGGAGAAGGCUAGGCCAGCUUGGCGUUGGUUGUCCAAGUUUAAGGUGUUAGG
rnacentral:rRNA from 1 species